UCAGCCCCUCCAGGGAGCUCCUCUGAGGUACAGGGGCCAUAAUUUCUGGCCCAGGCAACACUCUAGUGAAAUCCAGAUCACCCCUCUUCUUGAAGACAAUUCCUACCUCCAUAAAGGGUGAGGGUCCCAGCCUGUUUAACAGAUCUUUCAGUUGCAAUGUCCUCCUCCCCAGUCAACAUUUUGGUGGGAUCUAAAGUCCUGAGCAGGAAAUUCCAAGGAAAUGCAUUUACUCAGAAGAUUCACCUUUAGGAUUUGAUGUGUUUAAUUUAGACCAUCCAACCAAACCAAACCAACCAAUCAGCCAACCAAAAAACAAAUACUCAAGGAGAAAUUUCAAGGUGGUUUGACUAGCAGCAAGGUGGCAUUUCUGCGGAAGGCAAAUUCCAUACAGAACUGACCGUGAGGGUAGCAAGACUAACAGAUGCUGGUGGAAUAGUCCUGCCUCCAUGAACGGACCUGACAAGCUCAGCACAAAAUCUGUUUCUCUUCAGAUACCAAGACUAGUGGAAGAAAUCAAGCCAAGAGGAGCAUA